UACGUAGGGUGCAAGCGUUAAUCGGAAUUACUGGGCGUAAAGCGUGCGCAGGCGGCUUUGCAAGACAGAUGUGAAAUCCCCGGGCUCAACCUGGGAACUGCAUUUGUGACUGCAUGGCUGGAGUGCGGCAGAGGGGGAUGGAAUUCCGCGUGUAGCAGUGAAAUGCGUAGAUAUUGGGAGGAACACCAGUGGCGAAGGCGGCUCGCUGGACCGGUUCUGACGCUGAUGCGCGAAAGCGUGGGGAGCAAACGGG
rnacentral:rRNA from 1 species